rnacentral:rRNA from 1 species
GACGAACGCUGGCGGCGCGCCUAACACAUGCAAGUCGAACGAGAGAGAAGAAGCUUGCUUCUUCGAUCGAGUGGCGAACGGGUGAGUAACGCGUGAGGAACCUGCCUCAAAGAGGGGGACAACAGUUGGAAACGACUGCUAAUACCGCAUAAGCCCACGGGUCGGCAUCGACCAGAGGGAAAAGGAGCAAUCCGCUUUGAGAUGGCCUCGCGUCCGAUUAGCUAGUUGGUGAGGUAAUGGCCCACCAAGGCGACGAUCGGUAGCCGGACUGAGAGGCUGAACGGCCACAUUGGGACUGAGACACGGCCCAGACUCCUACGGGAGGCAGCAGUGGGGAAUAUUGCACAAUGGGGGAAACCCUGAUGCAGCGACGCCGCGUGGAGGAAGAAGGUCUUCGGAUUGUAAACUCCUGUUGU